UAAAAAUUUCCGCGGGCA
rnacentral:tRNA from 1 species